rnacentral:rRNA from 1 species
UACCUACGGGAGGCAGCAGUGAGGAAUAUUGGUCAAUGGGCUUACGCCUGAACCAGCCAAGUCGCGUGAGGGAAGACUGCCCUAUGGAUUGUAAACCUCUUUUGUCGGGGAGCAAAAGACGCCACGCGUGGCGUUCCGAGAGUACCCGAAGAAAAAGCAUCGGCUAACUCCGUGCCAGCAGCCGCGGUAAUACGGAGGAUGCGAGCGUUAUCCGGAUUUAUUGGGUUUAAAGGGUGCGCAGGCGGAAGAUCAAGUCAGCGGUAAAAUUGAGAGGCUCAACCUCUUCGAGCCGUUGA